AGUGGCUCAUUCACCUUCUUAUGUCAGCCCCUUCGGGACGCGCUACAUAAACUUCGAAUGACGCACAAAAAGGUGCCUGCCGUCCAACUACUGAUCAUAGCGAUGCUUUAUCAGGCCAGGGCGAAACGUCGAGUUAGGCACCGCCUC
rnacentral:sRNA from 6 species